CACAGGAAACCUCACCCACUCUACCUAUUUUUGCCCACUGGCAUGUGGGCAGGUAUACCUGCCCUGUAUGCCUUAGCUCAGCACUGCAUCAUGGAGCAAGCACUUUUGUUCAGAGCUCUUUUUAAAGGUAAUAAUAAUAAUAAUAAUAAUAAAAAGAGAGAGAGAGAGAAAAAAAAAAGAAAAAGAAAAAAAAGAAAGAGAAGAAAAGAAACACGCACUCUGAAGCCUGAAUAGCAGUGUUUCUGUCAUCUGUUGUCAUGACACACAGCUGACGUGGGAACACGACAGUAAGGCUGACUGCUAGAUGGGUUUAAUUUUGGUGCAGAAAUUUGCUAGAAGAAGCUUUCAAAAAUAUCUCUGGGUGGGAGGAAAACAGGUGGGUGCUGGUUGUGUGUACGUAGCAGGAGGAAAUAGUUGUCAAUCUUACCCAAGCAUUACUCCACAUCCAUCAGCCCUUUGGUACCCUCUCUACUCAAUGAGGGAAACAAGUGAUGCUGUAUCUCGUUGUUCCUCUCUCCUGCUACUUUUGGAGAAAGUGCUGGUGGAACAGAGUGCAGAGAGAGAACAUAGAAUGACUGAAUAGCAACAUGGUUGGCUUGGUCAAAGUACACAUUGUUUGCUCUAUCUUGGUAAAGACAUCCGUACUCAGCACAGGAAGACAAUGUCAGUAUCAUCCAUUGAAGCCAAAUAAUGGUGAGAUCCUUUCAGGAGAGACUUGUGGGCAACUGAGUCUGAAAUGACAGCUAAUGUUGGAGAAUGGCCCUCAUGGUGAGUAGUGAAUGAUCUGUAGGAAAACCGAGAUGUAGUUUCUGUGGUUGUGGUUGUCCAUCUGGGUGAGUGAGUGGACUCAGUAUCAUGGGUGGACUUCUCAGCACUGUGUUUUCAUUUCCCAUACACAUCUUUGUUUCAAAAAGGUCUCAUUUUUCCCCUUCAGUAUCUGUAGGCAAUUCAUACUGGCUUCUAGAUGUUCCUAAGCAGUCACAGACUUUGCUGGCUACCAAAGAACGUAGGUGUCCAGAAAUAUUCUCUAAAAAUCACUCUGCUAACCCAUUUGAAGCUCAUUUUCCUCUUCUACAAACUACUCUAUAUUAGCACAUUUCUCAUCUCUUAGUCUUUGUCAUCUUGACUAAUGACUUUACUCAUCUGUACUAGUUUACUCACUCGUUUCAAUACUUUGCUAGAUCACAGGAACAUUUUGUGACUUAAUUAAAUUAUCAGUUAGAGCUCAGAGGUCUUUGAAUGAAAACUGUUAUGUUCUGUAACAGCAGAAUACUAUGAUUACAGUUCUGGAAAACAUACUACAGUGUAGAGACUUCAUUUCUCUUUCAUAUUUGCUGUUUGGACAUUGGCAGAAGUGAUGGUGGUGAGACUGGAGCUGAAGACUCCAACCUCAACUCUGAGCAAAAAGCUUGGAAAAAAAACCAUUGUUUGAGACAGAGAAGAUUGAAAGAAAACCAUUGCAAAUCAUUUGUAUGAACUGAUAAAAGCAGGGAAGGAAGAGAAAGAGCUUUGGAGAGGAGACGUGGAGGAAGAGGACACAAGUCUGUGUGAGCAAGAGAGUAGUUCAUGUUUCUUGUGAACUAUAGAUUCUACCUGAUGUGGUCAUAAUCCAAUGGGAAACUAUAGCGUUUCCUUUAAUCUCAUUCUCAUUGUGUCUUAACUUUGUCUGAAAAUCUGAUUUGACCCAUAUCAUGGCUGUAUUCUCAGUAUGUCAAAUGCCUCCUUUCUGCCCCCUACUAGAAGCCCCAUUUGAGAAGCUUUGUUAAAUGGAAAAUGUAUUAUCAAUGAUUCCCUUGCAUCUUUGUUGUUUGUUUGUUUGUUUGUUUCAUUCCCCUCCAUUUGUAAUCCUCACAUUCUUCUUUCUGUUUGUAGCCUCUGCUCUGUAUAUUCCAUGACGUGCUCAAAAAUUCUGAAUAAUUUCCACUGUGGAUUCUAAAAACGAUUUACCAUUUCCAGAAAGCGGCAGCAACAAUCAGUCUCUUAUGCAGAUUGCCACCUUGUUGCUACUUGCCAAACUGUCUCAUAUUUCUCACAGCUCACAACUGGUACACCCUGGGACUCCUGACCUUCCUUCUGGAAGUGUGCAAGCCAUUACCGUAUACAUUUAUGCUGGCUGAAGUAGCUGUUGAUUUUAUGUAGGCUAGGAGGUGUUGACCCAGCUCCUUACCAAACUCCCCCUUCUACUUAGUCCAGGACACAUCCAUCUGGUUCAGCCAUCAGAAGAUGCGUUUGCUGUUCAGUGACAACUUUGAAAGGAAGUCUAUGCUUGGUGGGUGACUUUGGAGCUAUUGGGUAAAACUUCAACUAGCUACAGCAUGUCCAUGAUACCCUCCUUCUUGCACAUGGAGUGGUGGCAGGGGAAAAAAUGGAGAAUGAGAAUUCUUUUCCUGUUGUCCUGUCACAGUUUUUCCUUUCCCUUUCCCUUUCUUUUCCUUUUUUUUCUCUUUUUUUUCCUUUUCCUUUUCUAUCACUUAAAUUCCAGGGCACUGGGAAAAAAAUUAGUUUGAGGUUUGACAAUGCGGAAAUAAUUAUAUGAGAAAAUAUAAGCGUUGGCUUUAGUGGAAAUCUAGCUUACUAUGCUAAACAAAGACAUUCAUUUUCCCUUCCUCCUAGUUCUCACACUUCAAAUAAUUUUUUCUAGCCACCUUGAAAGGGCAGCUUUUGCAGUAGCAUUCUUCCUACAUAAACAGCCCUUUAUUUAUAUAAACAUCUCUGUCUUUAGUUGAAAGGUUGCUUUCCAGCGUGCAAAUAGCAGCUAUGCCCUUUCAGGCAGAAUACCCUAAACAAGAAAUGUCUCAAUUACACUUUAAAAAAUUGUGUUUUCUUUGUAGACUCUCCUCUCCUCUGCCUGCUCCAGACUGAAGGUAAAAUGACUGCAUGUCUGAAGACAGCAGAUGUCUCAGAGAUGUAAAUGUUCAGCACUCCUGAAUCAAAGCCACAGCAUAACUGAAUACACUACUGUAUAAAGAAAAUAUUGACUGUCUUUGUAUUUGUUUGCUUUCUGUGUAGGGGUAGAAAAUACUAGUAAUGUUUAAACACCUCUUUAGAGUCAUUACAAGAUAUUGUGCAAAUAUAGUAAAUUUUCCCCAGUAAGCAGGCAUGAAAUAUACAUUUGCUUAUCAGAACGAAACAGUUCCAGGGGAGGCCUUGAUGUCUGUCAGGUGAAUCAUCUAAUCUUCAGUUUUAAUAUAUUGAACUGGGUAAAUAAGUCACUUUUUAGAGGUGUCUAAAUAUACAUUUCCCCGAGAGAGCUUUUUCACUCUCUAGAGUAAGCAAAUCAUGCUUAUAUAAAGAUUUUUUUUUUCUUAUUUAAAAGGUGUGGUUACCUGAGUAAAUAGUUGCAGCAUAAGUACUUACUGUACGUACCAAACAUACUUGAUUACAUGCAUUUGUCUCUGUAAUAAUACCUAUUGCCAAGCUACAUCAGCUGCUCAGGAUUUAAUAAUCAGUUGUAAGAUAUUUCCCCCUCCCACUUAGGAAAGAAAGCAAAGGAAAAAGAAUCCAGAUACAAAUUUCACAAUCAGCAAAAUUGCCAUACCUCUUAGGAAUUUUAAAGGUAUAACAUAACCUGACAAAAAACAGGAAAUUAAAAUGCAAAACCAGUGCUGUGUCCUUAACUCACCCUUUUGUGCUUUUUCUUAUUACCAUGCAGAAGAACACAGCCAUUUCUUCUGUGAAUCUUUGCAACACUAUGCUUCCCUGAUGAAUUUUCAAAAUGACUUAUUCUUGCUGUUAGUUAUCUCCAGAACUGUUAUGGUAGGUCAUCUAGUACAUCACUUCCAAAGUGCAAUUAAUCCCUACUGCACAUUUACAAGGGCUUAUCCUGCCUAAUGUAAGUGUCCUGUGUGACCUUCUUUUUCUCUUUGCUUCACUACUGAGUUAUUUUUAGGGCUUGAAAUAUAUAUUUUUAAUCAGUUUUAAUCAGGAUUUUUCUCCUGAUUUCUUUAAUUUUGUAACAUAAACAGGUGUUUGGUCUUUCCUUUCAGUUGCUUAGUAUCCUUCACUGUAUUUUCUUCUCUUCUGCCAAAACAGUAUCUGGGAGUAUUGUCCUCCUCCUCAUCUGUUUGGGGCUUAGCUUCUCAGCUCCCUUUUGCAUGUGAGUCCUUGGCAUCUAGCUCCCUCUCACAGGGCUGUUCUUCACUGCUGUAUUGGGAGUGCUAUGUCCUCUGUUUGUCAGCCUGGCCAGGCUCCCUCAAUUUCCAGCCCCAAAAGCUUUAAUGUUGAAGCACUGCCAAAAUUUAUUUAGGAAGUGUUUUAAAGCUAGGUGCUGUCCUUCUCUUCUUGCCUUUCUUUGCAACUCCCACCUUGAGGAUUUUGCCUGAAUUUGAAAACCAUCUUGAAGACUUCAGUAGAAAGUGCAUGUCUCAGGUUCUUAUCCCAUUUUAUUUUCUCUGAAAACCACCCAGACCAUUUGGCCUUUGUAGUUUCUCCCUGAGGCAGGGCAUCUAAAUUACACCAAGCCUCAUUCACCAGGGUGCCUGAUGAGCACUGUCUGACAUUGCUCCUGCCUGAUCUGGGCUCUUCACAGGAAACAAAUGAGAUUCAUUUUGGCUGUGACUUGUGCUAAUAAUGUAUCUAUACAGAAAUUACUAGGGGAUGCUAUGGUUUGCAUGUACUGAGCUAGAUGCAGAUGCCCUGGAAAGAUCAUGCAUGGCAGAGUCUCACAUUGUCAUGUAAGAGCUAGAUUAUAAGAGUUUUUGUUUUGCUCAUUUUGUUUUGUAGCCACUUGGCUGGGUCAGGUUUUCUCAAUUAAGCACGUGAUUCACCAGUCCUCUCUGUGUUCUCAGUGGUUUUCUUUCCUAACAUUUAACUUUUGCUAAUGCGAGGAGGGAGAAUACCUAUCUGCAGAACUUUUAUUUUCACUCAUGGGAUUUGUACAAUAAUUAAUGUGUGAGAAGCACUAGUGGGAACUUAUUUAUUAAAGGUAAGUAGCAGUAUGACUUCGUACAGCCUAUUGCCAAGAAACAGAUGAUAGCACAUUGCUGUAUUAUCUACUCUGCUGUUAUGAAUCUGGGAAUAAACUACAACAUCUUCUAACAGCCUUUAGCAUUUCCUUUGUUUUAUUUCCCUUACCUUUAACCAUAAUGCAAAGGAAGGAACUGCUUGUUAGCUUUGCCUAGUGUAUUGUUCAUAGCAAUUCUGCACAGUUUUGCUGGCAUCCAGAGGAUUGAAACAGGCACAGACUGUUUUUGGAGGCUGAGUUAGAGUGGAAUAAAGCUCUCAUCCCAGAUUUUGUCUGAUUCUGAAAGGAAGUAGCUGGUGAUCCUCUGCUGGUUUAUAUGCAAAGGAUUUUUUUGCUUGAACUCCUUGAUUGCAUUGAUAGUACAAAUAUUUACAUGAUAAGUACAAACAUUUAUAUUGUUAUUAGUAGUAGUAUGAGAAAAGAAAAGCAAAUGAACUGUUACCUUUUUUACUUAGAGACCAGGAGAUCUUUUAUUCUGUUUGUAUAGGUCUUGCAUCAUUUGCUGGUCAAUUAUGAGCAUUUCCUUCAUUGUCUACUCAUUGUGAAGAAUAGCAGUGCCCCAUUCUGCAGGUUGUGGCUGGCACAUAGGACCUGUUCUGGAAAGAAACGUACAAGUGGAAGGGGAGAGAAAAAGGGAAGAACAGAAUGCUUUUAACUUGCUCUGUACAUGAUAGUGAUAGACUGCCUUCAAAGAGCGCUGGGGCUUUUGGAUAUCACAUAAGUGCAAAGAGUUGUCCAGCAAAUGCGGUAUUGCAAACUCUAGCACUUUUUCCACUUGGCAAGAUAUACUGCAAACAGGCAAGCUUGGAAGAAAUUGAGCAUUUCUCCACCACCUCUGUCCCUGCGAAGCCUCCCACACUGCUUCCUUGGUCAGCUGAACCAUACCUAUUUUUAUGAGAAGAAGUGGUAUCCACAGAAAUGAAGUCAGGCAUAUGCUCUCCUGGGAUGAAGCACAAGGUCUCAGCAGCCACAGCAAGUAAAACCCUUCCAUUUCAUGACCGACUUAUGGUGAACUCCAUACACCCCUGCAUCUCUGCUGCACCUCUGCCAACACAAGCCAGCAUGGGGGAGAUCAGGGAUAUGGUAGACAGCCACAUGAAUAGGGUCAAACAGAGGAAGGUCCAGUGUCAACAGCACUUUCUGUUUGCAAGGUCGUGCCUAGCAUCUCGCUUUUGAGGAAAGGCUGAGAGACCUGGGACUGUUCAGACUGGAGAAGACCAAGAGGGGAUCUCACCAAUACUUAUAAAUGUCUAAUGAGUGGGAGUCAAGUGGAUGGGGUCAGGCUCUUUUUGCUGGUACUCAGAGACAGGACGAAGGUCAAGGGGCAAAAAGUGAAACACAGGAUAUUUUGUAAAAACAGGGAAAGAACAUCAUUACUUUGAGGGUGACAGAGUACUAGAACAGGCUGCCCAGGGAGGUAAUGGGGUCUCAUUCUCUGGAGGUAUUGAAAACCCGCCUGGAUGUCUUUGUGUGUAACCUACUGUAGGGAGUUGGCUUUAGCAGAGGUGUGGGACUAUGUGAUUUCCAGAGGUCUCUUCCAACCCCAGUGAUUCUGUGAUCCCACCAGUCACAUUACUGCCAGACCAACUGUUAAUAGAUCAUUAAAUACAAACCAGCAAAUAGAAUAGUGCUUUGAUGUUUUUGUUGAGCAUCUGCUAUAUCACCUGCCCUAUUAACACAGCUAAAUAGGCAAAUCAGAAGUAGCAGCAGUCAUUCUGAAUAGGUAUAGCAUGUCAUUCCCAGUGCUGAGAAUGGAUAUUUUUCCUGAGCAAUUUAGCUACAGCUGCAGCUUUUUCAGCUGAAUGCUGCAGCAGAUGGAAGAAGCCUGUGUGUUCAGAAAGUGUGGUGGUUUUUCAAUAGUAGGUGAUUGCGUGGAUCAAGUUAUGUGUGCCACCCACAACAUACUUUUCUCUAUGCCCUUGUAUGGUGCGCUUAUGUAGUUAAUUGCACACCUGCUUAUACCACACAAGAGAGGAAAAGCAAAAUAUAUUUAGGCCCACUUGAAUUAAGUAAGUUGUUUUAUUGAAAUUGCCCACGUUUUCUUUGAUUUUCAAGAUGUUUGAAGGAAUAGCUAUUUACAUGCCAGAAAUAUUUGAAGUCAAGCUUCUCCACGUUUCAAGGAUUAAACAUGAAAGUAUUAGGAAGGCAAGAGAAAACAGCAUGCUAGAAUGAUGGAUCUCAGAAAGAAUUAAAAUGAACAAUGCUCUCCAGUUACGCUUUCAUCUCCUUUUAUAGACAGUUAUGAUAUUAAGUAUCAUUCACCACUCAUCAUGUUUCUUCAGCGUUAAAAUGAAGAUGACUGAUCAUUUUUGCCAUUUCCUCCUGCAGUACACUAAAGAUACACGCUAAUGUUGCUACCGAUGGAAAAAUAACCCAUUUAGCUGAGUGCUGUUUAAGAGAUUGUAUUCACAACUUCUUUCAUUUCACACAAAUUAAACAAAUGAUUCCCAUUGUCUGAUCAAGUAUCUACUACACUCUGCCAUCUUGUAGUGAGAUGUACAGGCACACCUCAAAGUAUUCUGUUCAUUAUUUUCAUUUUCUAUAUAGGGAACUGAUAGAAAUGGUAGAUAAAUGGUAUUAUUCAAGGGCUGCUCCAAAAGUAAUGCCUCCUGUUUUAUGAUGAUGGCCCGCAGUGUCAGAGGAGAAUGUCAACGGUAUGGCAGUAGAGACCGAGCUUUCUCAGCAAUACUCUGUUAUUUUGUUGAUAUGUGACAGAUGGCAGCAGAGGGGCAGUCUGACAGGAUGGCGUCUGACAUGGAAGUGCACGUGAAGCAAAAGUGUGUUGUUGAGUUCCGACAUCUGGAAAAAAUUGUACCCAUUCACAUACACUGAUGCUUGCUGAAUUUUUAUAGAGACCAGUCAGUGCAUGUGAGCACAGUGAGGCGGUGAGUGGUGUGUUUCAGCAGUGACAGUGGAUCACCUCCACUGGUACGGACAUUUAUGAGUGUGGCAUGCAGGCUCCUGUUCAUUGCUGGUGAAGAUGCAUAGCUACUGGUGGCACCUAUGUUGAAAGAGAUUGUUUUGUAGCUGAGAAUUUACACUACCAAGUAUUGUUAUUGUGCUCUUUGUAUCUGUUGUAGUUUGCAUGGAAAUAAUUAGGAGACAUUACUUUUGUCCUGACCUAUGUGCUUAGCACUGGAGCUGAAUUAAUACAAAUGUAAAACUGGGGAAAACACUCAUAGUCCAUGAGAGGCUAUACAUCACAAAGAUCUUAUACUAAUUAGGAUAUUGGCUUCAUAAAAGCCACUUUCAUAUUCUAGUAACAAAGGAGGCAGUCUGUGCAUUUUUUCCUCUCCAACAUGGACUAGUUUUUUUGUGGUUCAGUGCAGCAUAGUAAAAACUCACAUGACACAAGGACUCUAAGCGCAAAGGGAAUCUUACUGUGUCCCAAGUCUUCCAGAAACAGCAGUAAAACAUUUUAAAUAGUGAAUCAGACAGAAACCAGUCUAACUAAUACAACAAAUAGGCCUGUAGAAAACUGACCUGGCUGCCAAAAUCUGACCCUAAUGUCAUACAACUGCCAGUAAAAAAACACCUUUUUGAUGGCAUCACAGGUCAGAAUGUUCUUUCUUCUUUUAUGCUCUCUAAUGGAGGAACAGAAAAAUAAAACUCAGUGUAUUUGUGAAGCAAGUAAUCAUGGCACGCUAUUUGGGUUGUUCUUUGGCCUCCAUGUUAAUCAUGAGCACUUGUUCUGCUUGGCAGUGGCUCUAGGAAAUAGCUCCCAGGCAUUCUGGUGGCUGCUGGUAAUGUUUGUACUUCAGGAAAUUGAGUCACCUCUGCCAUUCUGUGGAAACAUAUUUCAGUUACAAUAAGAAUAAAUACUGCAUU